AAGUACCGUGAGGGAAAGUUGCAAAGAACUUUGAGGAGAGAGUUCAAGAGGGCGUGAAACUGCCAAGAAUGAAGCGGAUAGAGUUAACGGAAAUCGGUGGCAUUCAGCGAAUGGGGCGAAUGCGGUUACAGGAUUGGUACUCGUGAAGCGGUACGAGAAUGUGACAUGUUUUGGUGUCGUUGGCGCAUUUGCCACUGAUGAGCGCUGGGUGUUUUGUUGUUUAAUGCUGAACCGAGCUUAGUGGACCAAGCGUUCGCGUUUGGGAACCUGUGCUCGGCUAGGCUUGUGAAUGAUAAUGCGUGUUAUAUAUACGCCUCGUGUUGUGCGUUGAGUUGAUUAUCUGUUGUUCGUGGUGCUAUGCGGUGGCAUGCGACUUGAUGGUGGUAUGAUUUCGGUGAUCGGCUUUGACGAGUUAGAGGUGAGUCCCGGUGUGAGCGUUGGUCACCUAUCCGACCCGUCUUGAAACACGGACCAAGGAGUCUGGCAUGUGCGCAAGUCACUAGUUGGUAAAUCGGAGAGGCGAAAUGAAAGUGAAAGCCGACUCGAUCGGCCGCUAUGGGAUUCGUGCUUUAUGCUUGGGCGCGACGCACCAUAGCCCCGUCUUUGUUGCUUGCAAUAGGGCGGAGGUAGAGCGUACAUGCCGGUACCCGAAAGAUGGUGAACUAUGCCUGAGCAGGAUGAAGCCAGAGGAAACUCUGGUGGAAGCUCGAAGCGGUUCUGACGUGCAAAUCGAUCGUCUGACUUGGGUAUAGGGGCGAAAGACUAAUCGAACCAUCUAGUAGCUGGUUCCU
rnacentral:rRNA from 1 species